UUCUUGUUAAAAAAACUCUGCGCUGUACAUCAGCUCCAGCAUGGUUGAGCCGAGAUACACCGGCGAAAACUCAGGGAGGGGCAAAUCGCCGUCGAGGUACUGCACGACUUGUAGUAACCAAAGUUGGACCUUUGAGCAACGAACCACAUUAUAUAGUGGUCAAAAGUUAUAGUUGUAGCAGUGUUAACACACGAUCAUUGUUUGAUACGACAUAUUAACACCAAAAUAGAUACAUGAAAUAGUCCUUGUCCCAUGUUGAAAUUGAACUAUCAAGAUAGAAAAGCAAGCGAUUCAAAGUUCCAAUCUGAUCAGGAACACAUCCCUGGCGACAAAGAAUAUAUUCUCGUCAAAAGAGUCCUGAUCUCACUGGAAACAUACAAGUAGUAAUGCAAGCACAUCACCAUCCAUAAAGAUGAACCAGUUAGGAACAUCUAGCAUAAGCAGGUAGCAUGCAUGAUACACCUGUUUGUUAUAAAUAUACAUCUAUACAUGAAAGUUGGGGCGUGAGGAAACCCCUUUCAUUUAAAAAAAAUAUCUACUCCCUUCGUUUCUGAAUAUUAGUCUUUUAGAGAUUUCACUGUAGAUACAUACGGAUGUAUAUAGACAUGCUUUAGAGUAUAAAUUCAUUUAUUUUGCUUUGUAUGUAGUCUAUAAUGGAAUCUCUCCAAAGACUUAUAUUUAGGAACGGAGGGAGUAUACAAAAAGAAAGUAAACCAUCGCAAUCACCCAAAAAUAAAUAUAAAGCAUAAAACAAACCACUACAAAGUGCUAGUUACAUCUUUCAAGAGUAUACAAGUAUUAGAAGUCCAACUCAAUUACUUUGGCACGACAUGCACCUGUGUUACCUUCCUGUGGAGAGAUCAGAAAUGACACCCGAUGACACAUAUGUCAUUAGAUUCUUGUUAAAAAACUCUGCGCUGUACAUCAGCUCCAGCAUGGUUGAGCCGAGAUACACCGGCGAAAACUCAGGGAGGGGCAAAUCGCCGUCGAGGUAUUGCACGACUUGUCGCAUGGUUGGCCUUGCAUUGUGCAACGGAUGGCAGCACAAAAUUCCGAGUUUCAGCACUAGAGAGACCUGGUCAAGGCAAAAGCUGUUUGGCAUCCUAACGUCUGCGGCCUUAGUGAUCGAACCCUUACG
rnacentral:lncRNA from 1 species